rnacentral:tRNA from 1 species
GGGAUAGCCAAGUGGCAAGGCUUCAGUCUGCAAAACUGACAUCACCGGUUCGAAUCCGGUUCC